UACAGGGGGUGCAAACGUUGCUCGGAAUCAUUGGGCGUAAAGCGCACGUAGGCGGUUCGUUAUGUCGGAUGUGAAAGCCCUUGGCUUAACCGAGGAAGUGCAUCCGAAACUGGCGAGCUAGAGUACUAAAGAGGAUCGCGGAAUUCCCGGUGUAGAGGUGAAAUUCGUAGAUAUCGGGAGGAACACCGGUGGCGAAGGCAGCUCGCUGGGACGUUACUGACGCUGAGACGCGAAAGCGUGGGGAGCAAACAGG
rnacentral:rRNA from 1 species